rnacentral:lncRNA from 1 species
CAAAACCAAGCUACUGGACAAAGUUUCACAAAUCAAGGAAUCUGGAAAGGAAGGCAAAUCAUGUCAAGAAGGAAGAAGAUCAUGAACAUAUAUGAUAUGGACGUGAUCACAAUCUACCCUAAAUCAGACUCGGUCAAGGAAUUCACUACAAAUCCUUGAUUGAAUGAAAUACCCAUGGGUUUUUCCUUAUAAGAGCAAAGAGCUAGAUCAUACAAACUAGACUUAGGAUUAGAGGAAGUCCACGCACUUCACUCUAUUGUAUUAUCUUUCUUUCAUCCUUCAUAAAACAUUUGUACCUGUGUAUGAAACUAUGAUUUUGGAUUUGCCGGAUGACUUGUUUAUCAAAUUAAUGCUCCUAAGAUUUAUGGACCUUUCUUGGACAAAGAUAAAACGGUUGCCAGAUUCUAUUUGUGCAUUGUAUAACUUGGAGACACUCCUCUUGUCAUGUUGUUAUUGUCUUGAGGAGCUACCGCUGCAGAAGGUUGAUUAAGUUUGUUGAAGUUUGCUUUUAGUUAUUGCAGUAACUUUUAGCAAUAAGUUAUUUAGUUUGAAUAAAUUUGAAUUUUGAAUUUUGAAUUUUAGUUUGUUUGUUUAUGUUGUUGAGAUAUUUUAGGUUUAAAUUUUAAAUUAUGCAGAUUAUGUGUUUUAUGUUGGCUAUUUAAAGCCCCUCAAUGCUUAAUAAAAUUAUUGAAAUCUAUUGAAAGUCAUUUCAAUCCAUUGAGAGAAAUUUUCAAUCUUUUUUGCCCCAUUUUUAAAAAACACCAACAGUGGUAUCAAGAGCUUCAUUGAUCUUAAGGGAUUUGUGAAAUCUUUCAAAGAACUACCAUACAUUUUUAACCCAUAAGGGCUACCUUUUUAACCCAUCAAGGCUACCUUUUCAACCGGUGCUUUUUUCAACGCAUAUGCUUUUCUAUAGGAAGGCAAAUCAUGUCAAGAAGGAAGAAGAUCAUGAACAUAUAUGAUAUGGACGUGAUCACAAUCUACCCUAAAUCAGACUCGGUCAAGGAAUUCACUACAAAUCCUUGAUUGAAUGAAAUACCCAUGGGUUUUUCCUUAUAAGAGCAAAGAGCUAGAUCAUACAAACUAGACUUAGGAUUAGAGGAAGUCCACGCACUUCACUCUAUUGUAUUAUCUUUCUUUCAUCCUUCAUAAAACAUUUGUACCUGUGUAUGAAACUAUGAUUUUGGAUUUGCCGGAUGACUUGUUUAUCAAAUUAAUGCUCCUAAGAUUUAUGGACCUUUCUUGGACAAAGAUAAAACGGUUGCCAGAUUCUAUUUGUGCAUUGUAUAACUUGGAGACACUCCUCUUGUCAUGUUGUUAUUGUCUUGAGGAGCUACCGCUGCAGAAGGUUGAUUAAGUUUGUUGAAGUUUGCUUUUAGUUAUUGCAGUAACUUUUAGCAAUAAGUUAUUUAGUUUGAAUAAAUUUGAAAUUUGAAAUUUAGUUAGGUUGUUUAAG